GAUAAGUGUCACUUGACCUCAGGGCACAUUCCAGAAUGAGGCCACAGCCAAGAAUAGGACCCAGGAACCCUGCCGCCCAUCCCGCCUAUAUUAAUCACACAUUCCCAGAGCGGGAGAGAGACUUCAGACUCCUUGAGGAAGUGGGAGGAGGACGACGAGACGGCAUCAGGAAGUAGAGUUGGGGGAAAGCGGGAACACCCCGGAGAAGCCCCUCCACAGCCUGUGGCCUCCCAGGGCACCUUGUGGCCCCUGGUCCCAGGACCAUCAGUUCAUCCAGAGAGUCCCUUGUCAGCCGUGGGGAAUGGGCUCCCGCAGACCUCUGGGCCCCCGCCCCCCGGCAGUACUUCCGGCCUGGGUGGCGCACGCGCAGAAGCAGACAGACAACGGAAGGGUCUUGCUGCGGCCAGGGGACAGCAGAGGCUCCCCGGAGGAUCUGGGUCCAGGAGGAUGAGUAGGCAUAAGGCUGAUGUCUCCCUCAGGAAUGUAGGCCAUGACUGCUUCUGUGUGUGAUCAAGAUAUCAUGUCACAGGACAAGGUCAGAAGCCAGCCCUGGGGAGGCUGAUGGGAGGCAGGCUCUUGGGAGAGGUUUGGGGCCCUGAUGGGACUCCACACUGCCCAGCCCGGAGCGGGGUGUACGGGCGGGCUGUCUGGGCACACGUGCAUGUGUGCACACGUGCGUGUCACACACUGAGAGAAGCCAACCGCCUGUAUUCAAGUCUUGGCUCUGUCACGUGGCCGCUGGGUGAUCUCGGGUAAGUUUCACGUCCCCUCCAGCCUCAGUUUCCCCAAACACAGAAUAGCGUUCUGUCCUGUAGAGUCCUGACGGAGACAAGAGAUGACGACUGGUGCCUGUCCCAUGGUGAGAAGCCGCUCAGUGUUGAUGUUCCAACAGUAGAGUUGGACACUGGGCGCUCCGCCCCCCCCCAACCCCCCGCCUGAGGAAAUCGCCAUGCGGCUGUGUGUUUGUUCUCCUCCUUUCUUCCUCAGGUUCCGCCCCUGGUCCUGGCUCUCUGGUCCCGCUGUCCAGGGGGUGACAUCAGACUAUGGAGCAGCUGGGCAGACAAUGGAGCAGAGUGUCCUAGGAGGCUGGAGGUGAGGACACAAAGGCGCAGAGAGACACCGGGGAAGUGUCGGAGACCAGAUGCAGACCAAGAUCCUGGGGCUUCUAUCUGCUUUCUGUCCAAAGAGGCCAGUGGGAGAUGAAAGCUCACUCUCCAUCAGAUGGGACCAUUUGACAGCUGGGAAGACCAGCUAUAGGACCUCGCGCAGCUUCCUGACCCGCCGGCUGCUGGAGGCGCCCACGAAACUCUCUGGCCGCAGCACGGCCAUGCCGCCGUCCACCUCGCCCAUGAUGAUGAGCGGCGUCUCGCCUGCCGUCACGUUGGGGCAGGGAC